UACGGGGGGAGCAAGCGUUGUUCGGAAUUAUUGGGCGUAAAGAGCUCGUAGGCGGUGUGUCGCGUCGGCCGUGAAAACCUGGGGCUCAACUCUGGGCGUGCGGUCGAUACGGGCAUCACUUGAGUUCGGCAGGGGAGACUGGAAUUCCUGGUGUAGCGGUGAAAUGCGCAGAUAUCAGGAGGAACACCGGUGGCGAAGGCGGGUCUCUGGGCCGAUACUGACGCUGAGGAGCGAAAGCAUGGGUAGCGAACAGG
rnacentral:rRNA from 1 species